AGUCUGGUGCCAGCAGCCGCGGUAAUUCCAGCUCCACUAGUGUAAAUCAUCAUUGUUGCGGUUAAAAAGCUCGUAGUUGAAAUCGAGUCAUGCAGCUUUGAAACGGCUUUGCCGAUAUUCUUAGCGGUGACUAUUUUGCCAGUACUUCAGGAGGUUACUUCGGUGCCUUCUGUGUCUGGCGAGUUUACUUUGAAUAAAUUAAAGUGCUUAAGACAAGCGUAUGCUUGAAUAUCUUAGCUAGGAAUAAUAAAACAGGACUACGGUUCUAUUUAUUGGUUCAGAAUUCGUGGUAAUGAUUAAUAGGGACAGUUCGGGGGCAUUCGUAUUUCUGCGCGAGAGGUGAAAUUCGGUGACCGCAGGAAGACGUCCUGAAGCGAAAGCUAUUGCCAAGUCUGUCUUCUUUAAUCAAGAACGAAAGUCAGAGGUUCGAAGGCGAUUAGAUACCGCCCUAGUUCUGACCGUAAACUAUGCCAUCUCGCGAUUCGGUAAGGUAAUUUUUUGCCUUGCCGAGGAGCGUCCCGGAAACGAAAGAUUUUCGG
rnacentral:rRNA from 1 species